AGGGUCCGGGGCCCCGCCCACUCCUCUGUGAUUGGCCAGGUCGCCCAGGCCACGCCCCGAGUACGUAUACGUGGGGGCGGGCCCGAGGCGGACACGGAGGGACUGGGCAGAGCUGUGGCCGCCAGGAGCGGGACGUGGGGCUGCUGUCCCCGCGCGCCCGGCUCUGGAGACCGAGGGGCUGCGGUGCCUGCACGUCCCUGUGAGCUCCCCGCUGGCCACCUGCGGCCGGUACAUGGUCUUCAGCUGCGUCCUUUCGUACCUGAUCUCUCAGCAGCUUUCCGCACGCCCGCGAGCCUUGGGGCAGAGGCAGCUGGACCGAGCCGGCUACUGUGGAACCUGACGAUGCUGUGAAACGACAAGAGGCCUUAGCAGCUGCUGGCCUGAAAAUGCAGGAAGAGCUCAGCGCACAGGUGGGAAAGCACAAGGAAAAACUUCAAGACACGUAGGAAGUGCUUUGCAUGGGUGGCCCUAACGAUGUGAGGCCGAGUGGGUAAAGCUGAGUGCACACCCUCGGGUGGGUCCUGGGACCAGCUCGCCUGCAGCACCGUGUCCAGUAGAACUGGGUGGCUGCUCGGGCGGAGUGUCUGGUUGGGGCAGACGCUCGUGGUUCCCUCACAGCAGUGCCUCACAUAACAGAGGUGUGUGUGUGCACGUGCCAUACUGCCAUACACAGUCCACGUUCUGUGUGGAGCUGGUGUGUCGCACGUGAUCUGGCCUCGUGGGUGCCACGUUGCAGUGGGUUGAAGUGUUCACUGGGCGUUUUGGAAGAUCUUUGUAAAAGCACAGGGUGCAGUUUGGGGGCAUCUGAGGAAGCGGGAAGGGGACAACCCAGGGUGAGUGACAUCUGGGCUGCUCUGUCCCCUCACAGGAGGCCACUGAGGCACCAGCAGCGUUUUUGUCAUUUC